rnacentral:rRNA from 1 species
CACUCCUGCGGGAGGCAGCAGUGGGGAAUUUUGGACAAUGGGCGAAAGCCUGAUCCAGCAAUGCCGCGUGAGUGAAGAAGGCCUUCGGGUUGUAAAGCUCUUUUGUCAGGGAAGAAACGGUGAAAGCUAAUAUCUUUUGCUAAUGACGGUACAUGAAGAAUAAGCACCGGCUAACUACGUGCCAGCAGCCGCGGUAAUACGUAGGGUGCAAGCGUUAAUCGGAAUUACUGGGCGUAAAGCGUGCGCAGGCGGUUUUGUAAGUCUGAUGUGAAAUCCCCGGGCUCAACCUGGGAAUUGCAUUGGAGACUGCAAGGCUAGAAUCUGGCAGAGGGAGGUAGAAUUCCACGUGUAGCAGUGAAAUGCGUAGAUAUGUGGAGGAACACCGAUGGCGAAGGCAGCCCCCUGGGUCAAGAUUGACGCUCAUGCACGAAAGCGUGGGGAGCAAACAGGAUUAGAAACCCCGGUAGUCCCAUGAU